rnacentral:ncRNA from 2 species
GCACCAGGCAUCAGAGAUAGAGUCUUCCCUGGCAUUGCAGGAGAGAAUCUGAAGGGAUGAUGGAUGCAUCAAAAGGAGGUCAGGACAUCCAAAUAGGGACCUGGAAGAUGGUGAUAUGUGUGGGAUAAAGGUAGGAU